CUCCAGCCUCUUCGGUAUCAUACUUACUCUGCAAUGCUUUCCAAAUUUUCUUUGCACUAGAGUAAGUUCUAUCAUAAUAAUCAUAAAAAUUAUCAGAUAGACAAUUAAGAAUAUAAUACCGACACUUAUAGGAAUCACCAUCGUACUUUUCCACUUUCUCUAGAUGAGAAAUGGUUUCAUCAUCAUUCAUAAAGGUGAUGUCUAUUUUAUUAGGAUUUUUCUCAGUUAACAUAUAAGAAACAUUGAGAAGACUUAAGUAGAAAAGUACUUUACCCUUCCAUCUCUUAAAAUGGUUACCAUUGAACCGAAAUGGCUUGUUAAGGUCUCCCA
rnacentral:lncRNA from 1 species